rnacentral:SRP_RNA from 2 species
GUCGAGAGGUUGUGCGGGCAAGCGCCUCGCCAACCCGGUCAGAUCCGGAAGGAAGCAGCCGUAACGGGACCCGCUUGGGUCGUUACAAUCUCUCACCAUC